UUGCCCUGUGCCUCGCUCGGCGGGUACCCUCCAUGUACCCGUCUUGAGCUGGAUGUUCGCCUCUGCCUCAGUGCAGUAGAGCCGAAGCCUUUGGCUUCGGUUUUCCUGGCGUUCAAUGGGCUAUAUGAAACUUGAGUUCUUUUGAGUACCAAAUACCUCUUUAAAACGUGGUAUAUUGCGUAAUUAGUAACUCGCACAUGC
rnacentral:snoRNA from 1 species